CUUUUAGGUUUAGACAUGCCCCAGUUUUUCAUGUGAAUCCCUAAAGAAUACAGACCAAAUAUUCAGGUAGAUUGCCCAGUGAUACUAAAUUCACUUAAAAUAUGGGAUGCCGCCGCUACAAAAUAUAGCCUGGCAUCUUCCCCUUCUCUGAUGACCCCAUUCCUGAGGAAUAAAGCAUUUUUAUAAAGCAGUUUUCCCCGGAAUGAAAGCUCUGCAUUUUAGGGGUUUUGAAAACACGGGAAUAUAGCGAUUAUGUCAUCUGUUUGAAGACUGUUCAUUUAUAACAUUUGAGGAAUUAAAAACCAGAGUCCUAUUUUUGGUAUAUUCAGCUCAGGGAUUACGCCCAAGAUCCUAAGAUCAAGAAAGUCGUACUAACACAGCUUAAGUUUUUUUGAAAGGAUGUGCAUAAAAGAACAAUUCCCGAGCGGCCCGAUUUCAUGUUUUUACACCCACUUGAGCACCAACACACUAUAAUGGGGAGAGAUCACGUACAUCGAUCAAUGGGAGGCGGAUCUGAAUGAGGUACUGGAGGGCAUAGAAUGGCAGGAAAUAUGGGAGGCUGCCGCAACGUCCUUUGUGUGUCUCUUCGCAGGAACAAUCAUACAAGACCUUGCUUAUGUGGUACACCAUGCCAGUGAAACUAUGCCAGAUGAAUAAAAUUCCAACAGUCUUAUGCUGGAGAGGAUGCAGCCAGAAGGGUACUUAUGUCCACAUGUGGUGGGCGUGCCCAGUGGUGCAAACUUAUUGGAAACGGAUCUUGGCAUUACUGCAAGACGUUUUUGAAAAGGAGGUCAAACUAGACCCGUGGGUGUUUCUAUUGGCCAGAUCUAUGAUGAUUGGGCAAAAACUGAACAAAACCUCAUACACAAAGUGAAUCUAGCUGCCAGAAGAGCUCUAUCACAGGCUUAGCUACAGGGGGAGACUCCCACUCUCUCUGUGGGGAUACAAAAAAAUUAAAGAUACGUUUCUUAUGGACAAAUUAACAGCCCAGGUCCGAGGGACAAUCAAGAAGUUUGAAAAGACUUUGGGCCCCUGGACGGCCAGCGCAGCGAGUGAUUAGGAGAUAGGCAGUGUGGGUUCAGUCCCUCACACAUACCGCUCAUCCUACUUAUGAUAACAGUAAGCAGCUGAGUAACAUCACUAUCCCCGUAUGGGUGGACUUUAAGGAUCCCCCUAGGAGAUGUCCACAAAUAGACUGCCCCAGGGAUGAAUCCGAUGCAGGCUUUAAGCCUAUCCACCUUCGGAAAGUGGCGCUCUAGAUGGCUCCCCCUGUCUCACCCCCCACCGUUUCCACUUUCUCCGUUUUAUGAGGGAUUAUUCCCACUCUACUUUUACUUUUCUCUUUCUUGUUUACAUUACAUAACUUUAUAAUUUGGGAAGGCAAACGUAAUUAAAAUAGGAAGAGGGAGAAAAUGUAUUUACAAAUUGGUUCUAUGUGUAUCCCAUACGAGACACAAUCAUGGACCACGAGAUUUUCCUAUCCAUUUUAGAAAUUGUAUUAUUAGUUCAUAUUUUAUCUUCUUAUAAAAAACACCAAGAUGGAUACCUAUUCCAGUAUAGAUACAAGAUUUCUUUACACUCCAGUCAUGACUGCAAUUAAUGUUUACAAUAUUUGAAAUUCAUAUGGUUUUGUUUCUACUGGCUUUCUGUUCAUACCUAAUGUUACUGUGAAUGUAC
rnacentral:lncRNA from 1 species